AUUCUUUCACAGAGGCGAUAUCAUAACCUAUAAGGUCCAGACAAGGCGUGAUUAAUGCUGGUUGAAAUCUUAACCCUAUGCCCACGCCAGGGACGACUUGGGACGAAAUUUAGUCAGCCCUGGCAAAUUUUUUGUCUCAUACCAGA
rfam:Salmo salar isolate Sally breed double haploid chromosome ssa12, whole genome shotgun sequence.